rnacentral:rRNA from 1 species
UACGAAGGGGGCUAGCGUUGCUCGGAAUCACUGGGCGUAAAGGGCGCGUAGGCGGAUCUUUAAGUCGGGGGUGAAAGCCCAGGGCUCAACCCUGGAAUUGCCUUCGAUACUGAAGAUCUCGAGACCGGAAGAGGUAAGUGGAACUGCGAGUGUAGAGGUGAAAUUCGUAGAUAUUCGCAGGAACACCAGUGGCGAAGGCGGCUUACUGGUCCGGUUCUGACGCUGAGGCGCGAAAGCGUGGGGAGCAAACAGG